rnacentral:rRNA from 1 species
AUUGAACGCUGGCGGCAGGCUUAACACAUGCAAGUCGAGCGGGGGAGGUUACUUCGGUAACUGACCUAGCGGCGGACGGGUGAGUAAUGCUUAGGAAUCUGCCUACUAGUGGGGGACAACAUUCCGAAAGGAAUGCUAAUACCGCAUACGCCCUACGGGGGAAAGCAGGGGAUCUUCGGACCUUGCGCUAAUAGAUGAGCCUAAGUCGGACUAGCGAGUUGGUGGGGUAAAGGCCUACCACGGCGACGAUCUGUAGCUGGUCUGAGAGGAUGAUCCGCCACACUGAGACUGAGACCCGGCUCAGACUCCUACGGGACGCAGCAGUAGGGAAUAUUGGACAAUGGGCGGAAGCCUGAUCCAGCCAUGCCGCGUGUGUGAAGAAGGCCUUUUGGUUGUAAAGCACUUUAAGCGAGGAGGAGGCUCCUUUAGUUAAUACCUAAAGUGGGUGGACGUUACUCGCAGAAUAAGCACCGGCUAACUCUGUGCCAGCCGCCGCGGUAAGAC